UACGUAGGUGACCAGCGUUGUCCGGAUUUACUGGGCGUAAAGAGCGCGCAGGCGGUCGUUCAAGUCGAGUGUGAAAGCCCCCGGCUCAACUGGGGAGGGUCAUUCGAUACUGAUCGACUUGAAGGCAGGAGAGGGAAGUGGAAUUCCCGGUGUAGUGGUGAAAUGCGUAGAUAUCUGGAGGAACACCGGUGGCGAAGGCGGCAUCCUGGACCGGCAUUGACGCUGAGGAGCGAAAGCCAGGGGAGCAAACGGG
rnacentral:rRNA from 1 species